GGAAAUAUGCCUGAUAAAAGGAUUACUUUGAUAGAGUAAAACAUAGUGAUUUUUCACUUAUUUCCU
rnacentral:tRNA from 1 species